rnacentral:rRNA from 1 species
CGGCACGGGUGAGUAACGCGUGGAUAAUCUACCCUUAAGAUGGGGAUAACGGCUGGAAACGGUCGCUAAUACCGAAUACGCUCCCGAUUUUAUCGUUGGGGGGAAAGGAUGGCCUCUGCUUGCAAGCUAUCGCUUAAGGAUGAGUCCGCGUCCCAUUAGCUAGUUGGCGGGGUAACGGCCCACCAAGGCAACGAUGGGUAGCCGGUCUGAGAGGAUGACCGGCCACACUGGAACUGGAACACGGUCCAG